rnacentral:misc_RNA from 3 species
AACGCACAUUGCGCCUCUCGGUAUUCCGGGAGGCACGCCUGUUCGAGCGCCAUUACACACCCCAAGCUCAGCUUGAUGUUGGACGCUGUCUGUGAAAGGACAGGUCUGGAACGCGUGGGCGCCGCCGCCGGACCACGAGCGUAGCAAGACGCAAGUCAAUCGCUCUGUGGGCUCACUCGGUGGACGGCCGUCUAGAUGUGGGGUAAGACCUGCGUCGAAAACACAUAACCAAAAGUUUGGCCUCGGAUCAGGCGGGGAUACCCGCUGAACUUAA